rnacentral:rRNA from 1 species
GCAUGCAACUGACACUGAGGCACGAAAGCGUGGGUAUCAAACAGGAUUAGAUACCCUGGUAGUCCACGCAGUAAACGAUGAAUACUAGCUGUUGGCGAUAUAACGUCAGCGGUACAGCGAAAGUGUUAAGUAUUCCACCUGGGGAGUACGCCGGCAACGGUGAAACUCAAAGGAAUUGACGGGGGCCCGCACAAGCGGAGGAACAUGUGGUUUAAUUCGAUGAUACGCGAGGAACCUUACCCGGGCUUGAAAGUUAGUGACAGCGGAUGAAAGUCUGCUUCCCUUCGGGGCACGAAACUAGGUGCUGCAUGGUUGUCGUCAGCUCGUGCCGUGAGGUGUCGGCUUAAGUGCCAUAACGAGCGCAACCCUUGCCGUUAGUUGCCAGCGGGUAAUGCCGGGAACUCUAGCGGGACUGCUACUGUAAGGUAGAGGAAGGUGGGGAUGACGUCAAAUCAGCACGGCCCUUACGUCCGGGGCGACACACGUGUUACAAUGGUGAGUACAGAGGGUUGCUACCCCGCGAGGGGAUGCUAAUCUCAUAAAACUCAUCUCAGUUCGGAUCGGAGUCUGCAACUCGACUCCGUGAAGCUGGAUUCGCUA